rnacentral:rRNA from 1 species
GACAGAGGGUGCAAACGUUGUUCGGAAUUACUGGGCGUAAAGCGCGUGUAGGCUGCUUCGAAAGUCGGAUGUGAAAGCCCUGGGCUCAACCUAGGAAGUGCAUUCGAAACUUCGAAGCUGGAGUCCUGGAGAGGAAGGCGGAAUUCUCGGUGUAGAGGUGAAAUUCGUAGAUAUCGAGAGGAACACCAGUGGCGAAGGCGAGUCCCUGGACAGGUCCUGACGCUGAGGCACGAAAGCUAGGGGAGCAAACGGG